rnacentral:rRNA from 1 species
UACGAAGGGGGCGAGCGUUGUUCGGAUUUACUGGGCGUAAAGGGCGCGUAGGCGGCCCUCCUUGUCGCGUGUGAAAGCCCCGGGCUCAACCUGGGAAUUGCGCGCGAAACGGGGGGGCUUGAGUUCGGGAGAGGAGCGUGGAAUUCCCAGUGUAGAGGUGAAAUUCGUAGAUAUUGGGAAGAACACCUGGUGGCGAAGGC